AUUGAACGCUGGCGGCAGGCCUAACACAUGCAAGUCGAGCGGAUGAAGAGAGCUUGCUCCUGGAUUCAGCGGCGGACGGGCGAGUAAUGCCUAGGAAUCUGCCUGGUAGUGGGGGAUAACGUCCGGACACGGGCGCUAAUACCGCAUAAGUCCUGAGGACGUAAGUGUGGGAUCUUCGGACCUCACGCUAUCAGAUGAGCCUAGGUCGGAUUAGCUAGUUGGCGGGGUAAAGGCCUACCAAGGCGACGAUCCGUAACUGGUCUGAGAGGAUGAUCAGUCACACUGGAACUGAGACACGGUCCAGACUCCUACGGGAGGCAGCAGUGGGGAAUAUUGGACAAUGGGCGAAAGCCUGAUCCAGCCAUGCCGCGUGGGUGAAGAAGGUCUUCGGAUUGUAAAGCACUUUAAGUUGGGAGGAAGGGCAGUAAGUUAAUACCUUGCUGUUUUGACGUUACCAACAGAAUAAGCACCGGCUAACUUCGUG
rnacentral:rRNA from 1 species